rnacentral:rRNA from 1 species
GAUGAACGCUGGCGGCGUGCUUAACACAUGCAAGUCGAACGAAGAAUUUAAGACAGAUUACUUCGGUUUGAAGUCUUUUAUGACUGAGUGGCGGACGGGAGAGUAACGCGUGGGUAACCUGCCUUCUACAGGGGGAUAGCAGCUGGAAACGGCUGGUCCUACCGCAUAAGCGCACAGUACCACAUGGUACAGUGGGAAAAGCUCCGGUGGUAUGGGAUGGACCCGCUUCUGUUUGGCUUGUUGGCGGGGUAACGGCACACCAAGGCGACGAUCAGUAGCCGACAGGGGAGGGUGACCGGCCACAUUGGGACUGAGACACGGCCCAGACUCCGACGGAGGGCAGCAGUGGGGAAUAUUGCACGAGGGAGGAAACUCUAAUGCAGCGGCGCCGCGGGAGUGAAGAAGUAGGUCGCAAUGUAAAGCUCUAUCAGCAGAGGAGAUAGUGACGGUACCGGGCUAAGAAGCACCGGCUAAAUACGUG